rnacentral:lncRNA from 7 species
CUGUUCCCAGCAAGGAGUCUCUUUGCUUGCAGGAGCCCGUGAGCUUUGCGGAGGUCCGUGUAUUUCAGCAGGGAGGAGUGGGCGCUGCUGGACCCUGCGCAGCGAGCGCUCUACCGGGACGUGAUGCUGGAGACGUACCAGUGCGUGGCCUGGCUAGCGCCACUUCCAGGCCCCAAACCCGGGCUGAUCUCCCUGCUUGAAGGAGGGGAAGACCCCUGGAUCCCAGAUGUGCGUAGCCCUGAGGCCGUGCCAGGAGACCUGAGCCCAGGUGAGUUGCUGGAGGGAGGGAAGGAGGAGGCUGGGGCUGGAAGAGUCCUCUCUGUCUGU